rnacentral:rRNA from 1 species
AUUGAACGCUGGCGGCAUGCCUUACACAUGCAAGUCGAGCGGAUGAAGGGAGCUUGCUCUCUGAUUUAGCGGCGGACGGGUGAGUAAUGCCUAGGAAUCUGCCUGGUAGUGGGGGAUAACGUUCCGAAAGGAACGCUAAUACCGCAUACGUCCUACGGGAGAAAGCGGGGGAUCUUCGGACCUCGCGCUAUCAGAUGAGCCUAGGUCGGAUUAGCUAGUUGGUGAGGUAAAGGCUCACCAAGGCGACGAUCCGUAACUGGUCUGAGAGGAUGAUCAGUCACACUGGAACUGAGACACGGUCCAGGCUCCUACGGGAGGCAGCAGUGGGGAAUAUUGGACAAUGGGCGAAAGCCUGAUCCAGCCAUGCCGCGUGUGUGAAGAAGGUCUUCGGAUUGUAAAGCACUUUAAGUUGGGAGGAAGGGUUGUAGAUUAAUACUCUGCAAUUUUGACGUUACCGACAGAAUAAGCACCGGCUAACUCUGUGCCAGCCGCCGCAGUAACAC